rnacentral:rRNA from 1 species
GACGAACGCUGGCGGCGUGCUUAACACAUGCAAGUCGAGCGGUAAGGCCCUUUCGGGGGUACGACGAGCGGCGAACGGGUGAGUAACACGUGGGUGACCUGCCCUUAGCUCUGGGAUAAGCCUGGGAAACGUGGGUCUAAUACCGGAUAUGACUCCAUGACGCAUGUUGUGGGAUGGAAAGCCUUGUGCGGCUAGGGAUGGGCCCGCGGCCUAUCAGCUUGUUGGUGGGGUGAGGCCUACCAAGGCGACGACGGGUAGCCGGCCUGAGAGGGCGACCGGCCACACUGGGACUGAGACACGGCCCAGACUCCUACGGGAGGCAGCAGUGGGGAAUCUUGCGCAAUGGGCGAAAGCCUGACGCAGCGACGCCGCGUGGGGA